rnacentral:rRNA from 1 species
GGAUUGACACGUCGGUCGUGCCUUAAGGGGUAUGAACUGGCGUAGUCAAUUUCUCACCUUCUGGAGAACCGCGCUGUCCUUAAUUGGGUGACGCGGGGAACCAGGACCUUUACUUUGAAAAAAUUAGAGUGUUCAAAGCAGGCCUACGCCCGAAUACAUUAGCAUGGCAUAAUAAAAUAG